UGGGGAAUAUUGCACAAUGGAGGGAACUCUGAUGCAGCGACGCCGCGUGAGUGAUGAAGGAAUUCGUUUCGUAAAACUCUGUUCUAUGGGAAGAAAAGGACUGUACCAUAGGAGAAAGCUCCGGCUAAAUACGUGCCAGCAGCCGCGGUAAUACGUAUGGAGCGAGCGUUGUCCGGAAUUAUUGGGCGUAAAGGUUGCGCAGGCGGCUUUACAAGUUGGAUGUGAAAUAUUGUGGCUCAACCACAAACGUGCAUCCAAAACUGCAAAGCUGGAGUUAAGGAGAGGUAAGUGGAAUUCCUGGUGUAGCGGUGGAAUGCGUAGAUAUCAGGAGGAAUACCGGUGGCGAAGGCGACUGACUGGACUUAAACUGACGCUCAGGCACGAAAGCGUGGGGAGCAAACAGG
rnacentral:rRNA from 1 species